UACAGAGGGGGCAAGCGUUGUCCGGAUUUACUGGGCGUAAAGAGCGCGCAGGCGGCUGGUCAAGUCCGAUGUGAAAGCUCCCGGCUUAACUGGGAAAUUGCAUCGGAAACUGAUCGGCUGGAAGGUGGGAGAGGGUAGCGGAAUUCCCGGUGUAGUGGUGAAAUGCGUAGGUAUCGGGAGGAACACCAGUGGCGAAGGCGGGUCUCUGGGCAAUUCCUGACGCUGAGGCGCGAAAGCGUGGGGAGCAAACGGG
rnacentral:rRNA from 1 species